rnacentral:lncRNA from 1 species
AUGACUGUGAUUGUAAUGACAGGUCUCUCUGAUCUCCCCCUCCUCUUCCCUCUACAGCCCACUGUACUGCCUUAUCUUACCUCUACAGCCCACUGUACUGCCUCCUCUUCCCCUCUACAGCCCACUGUACUGCCUCCUCUUCCCUCUACAGCCCACUGUACUGCCUCCCUUCCCUCUACAGCCCACUGUACUGCCUCCCUUCCCUCUACGGCCCACUGUACUGCCUCCCUUCUACAGCCCACUGUACUGCCUCCAUUCCCUCUACAGCCCACGUACAGCCUCCCUCCUUCUACAGCCCACUGUACUGCCUCUUCCUCCCUCUACAGCCCACUGUACUGCCUCCUCUUCCCUCUACAGCCCACUGUACUCCCCCUUCCCUCUACAGCCCACUGUACUAACUCCCUUCUUCUACAGCCCACUGUACUGCCUCCCUUCCUUCUACAGCCCACUGUACGCCUCCCUUCCUUCUACAGCCACUGUACACCUCCCUUCCUCUACAGCCCACUGUACAGCCUCCCUUCCUUCUACAGCCCACUGUACAGCCUCCCUUCCUUCUACAGCCCACUGUACAGCUCCCUUCCUUCUACAACCCACUGUACAGCCUCCCUUCCUUCUUCUUCUACAGCCCACUGUCUAACGCCCUUCCUUCUACAGCCCACUGUACUAACUCCCUUCCCUCUACAGCCCACUGUACAGCCUCCCUUCCUUCUACAGCCCACUGUACUAACUCCCUUCCUUCUACAGCCCACUGUACUAACUCCCUUCCCUCUACAGCCCACUGUACAGCCUCCCUUCCUUCUACAGCCCACUACACUCCUUCCCUUCCCCUGGGUUUUGGUCCAUCUGCCCCAGGUAUCAUUUAAACAACAGGAUAUCAGUGAGUCUGUUCAGACUCUCUGCAAGUAGCUGCCCUUACCAAUUACAACUUACUCAGAUGGUCCAGCCCCAAAAAGCACAGAUAUUGAUUGUGGUUCGCCUAUUUAAACAUGUGUACAACUUGAGUCUAUCUAUUCGGUACAGUUUCUAUCUAGAUCAGUUGGUUUGGAGCAGUCGUAUAAUGUUUACAAUGCAAGUAAUUAUCAGCACAGAGUGCUUUCGUUGAGUCGUGUAAAUGCUGUUUUGAAACGGGGGACAAUGGCUAAACAACAUGGAGAGCAGUGUCAACAGAAUCAGCGUAGAGAGGACCAACAACAUACUCGUCAUCAUGGGUAUUGUAAAUAGUACUUCUGUACCAGACAUAUAUACACGAGAUAUAUGUCAAAUUUAUAUAGAAAUAGUUACACUGAAUGAAGUGAUAAUGCUGCUACUUAGUCAUCUAAUGAGACAGGAGUCUAUAGUCCCUGAAUACACAGCCUCACAUACUGCUGUACUGUAACUGUACAGGUAUUGCAGCUGUAGCAAUGAAUGGCACAAUAUCUUAUUUAUUGCUGUUGACAAUGAUACAAGUAUAUUCGGUCACUGAGACCAUUCUCUUUCAGACGUCUAGUGUCUGUGUGUUGAGGUAAAAUAGGAAAUCGCACCCUUUCAGGUUUGCAUGUAUGUAGUACAGACAGGUACGAAGGCAUGGUACAGACACGCAGGUACUGUCACUGACACGCCCACAUAGGUAGACACGUUGGCCGUGUUCAAGAGCAUCAAUUGACUGAUCUACAGAUAAUAAUGAGUAGCUGAUUAGGAUGAUGAUUUGUAGAUCAGUCGCCGACUGCAAUCUUCAAACACAACCACACAGUGAUGCCAGCCCUGUACAUAGGACGCAGUGCAUGAUGGGAAAAAAACAUGUAUUGUGCCAGCACGUGUUAUUUGAUGUUAUAUUUGGCAAUUGUCUUCUUCGUUUAUCUUAAUAUUAUUUAAACAUUUUCAGAGGUUUGUGAAUAUAUAUAUAUAUAUAUAUAUAUAUAUAUAUACUGCUGAUGAUGAUGUGUGACUGUUACAAAGUACUCGCAUGAGAGGAUUUUUUUAUACUGAAGGUUUCUAUUUUGUUUUAUUCUGGGUGUUCUUAUUAGGGGGGUGUGUGUGGAGGGGGGGGGGGGGGGGGGGGUGCAGCAUUGCUGUGUUUCUGCUUCCAAUAAAAUGUUAGAGAAAAUCUUCAUUUUCAUUGUGCCCAUUUGGAUCAGAGUGAGAAACAUAUGUACACUAUUAUGUUUACAUUUGUAUAAUUAUAAUAAUGUAUUCUGAUAUCUGGAACAUAUUACCAAUUUCUAAAUGUAUUAAGCACACAUUUCCAAUGUACACAUAGGUAGGCAUUGAGGUAGGUGGGAUGCCUCCAAUAAGGAAAUGUCUAGUAGCAGACAGGCAAUACUGUAAUCUUAGUACAGAUAAGGAAAUGUCUGUCAAAAAUCAAUACUAUGAAACAGAUAAGAAUAAAAUCCACAUGCGCAUUCUAAUAGCUCAUUAAGAACAGUAAUAUUGUGCUUGUACAUGUGCUACUGAUAGAAGGAGUAAUGCAAAAUAAGACAAUUACACACACACAUUACUCACGUAUUACUUUGAUGUACUGUAUAUCCUGCAGAGAAAAGACUUCUGCAGCAGUACCAAGACUUGUAAUCCACAGUGAAAGACCUGUAUAACUCCUGCUACCUCUCAGGCCCAUUGCAGGAAACACAUCUUAAGGGAGUCUGGGAUGUCCAGCUGGUCAGAGCGGAUGGUCUGGGGCGGCAGGUAGGGGAACGUGACAGUGAACACACGCUGUACGUCCAUCAGCAACGGUCCUUCAGCAGAGCCUGAUGGAACAGAGAGGAGAUGAUGAACGCAACU